UCCCUGAUGACUCAGUGGUAAAGAAUCUGCCUGCAAUGCAGGAUACCCAGGUUCGAUCCCUGGGUUGGGAA
rnacentral:tRNA from 1 species